CAAAUUCUUAAUUCAAUAAAUGGUAAUAAAACCUGAGUCUAUUUUCACAUAUUGUAUCUAAAAAGUGUGCAAAAAUAUAAUAAUAACCUUAUUCUUAUAAUGUAAGAAUCAAUAUCUGGUGGAUUAAUGUUAAUAGCCUAUAUGCAGCCCAGGCCCUAGAACUGAAUUACAGGUAUUUUUAAAACAUCAAAGAUGACAAGAAAAAUUGAAUUCGUUUUAUAUGAGAAUGGUAAAAAACUUGAAAAAAUUGAAAAAGAAACAUCUUUAGACCCAUUACAACUAAUGAAAUCGUUAGAAGAGUUCCGGCAAACAGUCAAUUUAACAUUAACUAAAAAAAUUGAAGAUGGAGGAUGUUUAGAGGACUAUAUUGAAGAUGAUGUUGACAGUAGUGAUGGUGAAGAGGAACUGGUUCAGCAAAUCAGUCCAAAAAAGAGAAAAGUGUGAUUUUGUUUUUAAUAUGGACUUAGAACAUUAGCUAUUACAUAUUUUUGUUACUAUUUUAGAAUUAAAAUGAGUUGGUGAAUAUGUGUGUGAGAUAGAUAGGUAUGGGAUAUAACAUACGGAAGAGAUUGUAUAGAAAUUUUAAAGAUAUGUUUAUAAAAAAAGUAUGAAAAGGGUAUUUUAAAUAAAAUAAACUAUUUAGAUCUA